AAAUCUAAACGACUCUCGGCAACGGAUAUCUCGGCUCUCGCAUCGAUGAAGAACGCAGCGAAAUGCGAUACAUGGUGUGAAUUGCAGAAUCCCGUGAACCAUCGAGUCUUUGAACGCAAGUUGCGCCCGAAGCCUUGGCCGAGGGCACGCCUGCCUGGGU
rnacentral:rRNA from 1 species